GUGCCAGCAGCCGCGGUAAUACAGAGGGUGCGAGCGUUGUUCGGAAUCAUUGGGCGUAAAGCGCUUGUAGGCGGCCUGUCAAGUCGCGUGUGAAAUCCCCUGGCUUAACCAGGGAAGUGCGCGCGAAACUGGCGGGCUUGAGUGCCGGAGAGGGUCGCGGAAUUCCCGGUGUAGAGGUGAAAUUCGUAGAUAUCGGGAGGAACACCAGUGGCGAAGGCGGCGACCUGGACGGACACUGACGCUGAGACGCGAAAGCGUGGGGAGCAAACAGGAUUAGAAACCCGCGUAGUCC
rnacentral:rRNA from 1 species